rnacentral:rRNA from 1 species
CGAAAUGCGAUACCUAGUGUGAAUUGCAGAAUUCCGCGAAUCAUCGAGUUUUUGAACGCAAGUUGCGCCCGAGGCUCGUACCGAGGGCAUGUCUGUCUGAGCGUCCU